rnacentral:tRNA from 1 species
GGAGGAAUGGCAGAGCGGUUUAAUGCACCGGUCUUGAAAACCGACGUACUGAAAGGUACCGGGGGUUCGAAUCCCUCUUCCUCCG